GGCUUUAUGACUUAGCCAGUAAAACACUUGAUGCUUAGAGACAUAUUGUUUCUGUCGCUGGUUCGAAUCCGGCUGAAGCCU